rnacentral:rRNA from 1 species
AGCGAACGCUGGCGGCAGGCUUAACACAUGCAAGUCGAGCGCCGUAGCAAUACGGAGCGGCAGAUGGGUGAGUAACACGUGGGAACGUACCUUUUGGUUCGGAACAACCCAGGGAAACUUGGGCUAAUACCGGAUAAGCCCUUACGGGGAAAGAUUUAUCGCCGAAAGAUCGGCCCGCGUCUGAUUAGCUAGUUGGUGAGGUAAUGGCUCACCAAGGCGACGAUCAGUAGCUGGUCUGAGAGGAUGAUCAGCCACACUGGGACUGAGACACGGCCCAGACUCCUACGGGAGGCAGCAGUGGGGAAUAUUGGACAAUGGGCGCAAGCUUGAUCCAGCCAUGCCGCGUGAGUGAUGAAGGCCCUAGGGUUGUAAAGCUCUUUUGUGCGGGAAGAUAAUGACUGUACCGCAAGAAUAAGCCCCGGCUAACUUCGUGCCAGCAGCCGCCGUAACAC